AAAAGACCUUGAGAUGGACUUUGGACAAGGACCUGGAGCGACAGGACAAGGAGGGAUGGCUUCAAAGUGCCUGAGGGCAGGGUUAGAUGGGAUAUUGGGC